UUUUUUUAAUUAUUUUACCUCUUGCAUUGAUAGUGUGCCCUCCCCCUUUUAUUAUUUCUUUUACUUUUUUAUUGCUUUAUUUUUUUAGUUUAUUUUAUUAUAUUUUUAGUCGAUGCAUAAUUGUUAAUCCAAAAAGACAAAAUGGUCAUUAAAAUUAACCUUUCAAAAAUACUAAGAUAAAAGGUAUUUGAUCAACAUCAAGUAUAUUUUUCAAAAUCCCACUAAGCUUUUUUCUUUAAUAAGUACCUCAUAUCAUUUCAAACCAUUUCACAAACCAUUUUCACUAAUGCGAUAAAACACUCAAUCAACAUCGAAUUUCUCUUCCGCUUUCUCAACUCGUUAAACUUUU
rnacentral:lncRNA from 1 species